UACGUAGGGUGCGAGCGUUAAUCGGAAUUACUGGGCGUAAAGCGUGCGCAGGCGGUUCGCCAAGUCAGGUGUGAAAUCCCCGGGCUCAACCUGGGAAUGGCAUUGGAAACUGGCGAGCUAGAGUGUGGCAGAGGGGGGUGGAAUUCCGCGUGUAGCAGUGAAAUGCGUAGAGAUGCGGAGGAACACCGAUGGCGAAGGCAGCCCCCUGGGCUGACACUGACGCUCAGGCACGAAAGCGUGGGGAGCAAACAGG
rnacentral:rRNA from 1 species